GGAGAGAUGGCAGAAAAAUGCAUUUGGCUUGAAACCAAAAGACGUAGGCUAAAAUCCUUCUCCCUCCU
rnacentral:tRNA from 1 species